AAAGUAUCUCUUUGUCCUGCUGUGUAAGCUCUCGGGGAAGUUUGUCAUAAGAGGUCCCAACUGCCUUCCUAAGGGGCCUUUGUCGUCUCAACCUUUGUUGCUUGCCUUUACUUUCUUAGGCUAUUUUUGGGAGUGAAUUUUCUGGAUCUCUUUUGGGGAUGCCUCUUUGUCCUUGGUUAAGCUUUGGUUGAGUCACUGUUAAGACCCUACUCGUCAAUUCGGCCAGACGAUGGAUCAUUUAAAUUCGGAAAACUUCUAAAUUGGGGAAAAAAUUGUGAGCGCUCUCAUCAUAAUUUUUAUUGGUAUCUAUGAAAAACGGCCAAAUUAAAAAGGAAACACAGAAAAUGGUAACUAGGUUUAAACCCGGACUAAGGUUAUACUUGAAUUGGUGAAAUAUGAAGGUCUAAGUGUUCAUAAGAUUGUAAAGGUUGGAAUGCUCGAGCUGAUUUUCUUUUUAUGAAGAGGUUAUAUCAACUUUGCCUGAGUAUGUUUUAAAAUGUCUGACUGGGAAUACUUCCUUAUGCGAUAAAUUAAGACCUGUUAAGUCCUGGCCAUGGGCUCUGUCGCCAUCCUGCAGCUCUUCACUGCCCAUAGGCCCUGUCGCCAUGCUAUUUGAAUAGAGGAGCGCUACUUCCAGGCCUUGAGCCCAGGAAGUCUUUCUUUUGACUCCUUGGCUUGCUGAGCCAGCUUGCUUCACCAGCUUGUCAGCUGAAGUUGUAGUUUUCCUUGUGCCUUUGUCUUUUUCAAGGAUGGAUCUAAAUUCACUGCUCCAUCGGGAACUUUCUCAGACAGCUGUAUGAAUCCACGUUUGCUGCCCAUGGCUACUCUAUGGGGCAAAUCGUGGCAUUCAGCCUGAAGAGAAUCAGUACCUUAAGCCUGAGGGUGAUGGAAAAUGAAUUAAUCCAUUCCUUCCUGACUCUAUCUCUAAUAGACAAAUUUUACAUGGGCAUGGGUCAGCCACUUAAGUCAUUAGGACAGCCGCCAAUCUCCAAGACUCCUGUGGAAGGUUUCUUUUCCUAAGGCUGGAUUGGGAUCCCUUCCUCUGGCACCUGACCAUGCUCUGAACUGCAGGAAAAGUCCCAAUCGGGACUCCAGUUCAAGGAAAGUACCAAACUCUAACCUUUGUUUGAAUAUGGGAACCCCUUCUUGGGAGAACGGCUCCAGGACUCAAUUGGGUAGAAUGUCCCCCAGACCGGCGGAAAAUUCCUCACUGUUUUUCUCUGUUCUUUUAUCUUUGGGAAAAUUCACCUGGCACUUAUGACUGCCGGGCAUAAUAGGGAAGGUAUACAAGGUAUGCAAGGCAGAGGGACCCCCUCAUCGCCCCUUGCUAUAGGAACCCCACAGGCAGAACAAGUAGGACACUGCCCUAGGUUCAGGAGAUUUUCAAGCUAAUGGACCCUUUUCUUUCCUCUCUCUUAAAGUGACAGUGACCAUUUUUUGGGCUCCUUUUGAGUUUUGCAACUGAGAAACAAAGAAAUCUUUAAAGUGUUAAAGGCUCCACCCCUGGGAGCCCCCACUCUGGUUUCCGGGCCUGAUCACCCUGGCAACCAUGUGGGGAGCCCUCUCUUGGCAAUUGACUCAUUAAGCAUUUAGAUGCCUACUGAGUUGGUUAUGAGGAUAGGAGAUCUGUGAUUUAUUCUAUGAACUGUCCUGAUAGUGUUGUGUGCCCCGGCACGGGAACUGCUGUGUGACCUCUAUCUCGAUAACCCUUGGGGAAGAGGCCAUGAGGGUGAGGCCUGAUCUCUUUUCCUUUGUUCUCCAGGCCUUUGCCUCCUGCUUCCCUGCCUGGCUCACCUGUGCUGGCUCAGGGACUAAGUGCCCUGGGCUAAGUGGGAUUUGACUAGAUCUUAUAACUAUGUUGAUGUCUGCAGUCAGGUGCCUUUGCACUCUUUCUCUGGCCUUGUCAGUUGGACACCAGCCUUACCGCCAUGAGGAAUGCCUUAACCCAGAGACUCACCCCUGGGUGCAUUUUAACUAGUUGGAAACACUUUCAAUUGGAUGGUUUAUGCCCCAGAAACUCCAGCUUGGAGAAAACUUGAGGAGUUUCUCUGUGCCUUUGUGAUGUAGUUGGACAGGUAGGUCAAUCUAGAAUGUCAUUGAGUUAAAACCCAGUAACUUCCAACUGUCCUUGGAAAAUCCUUGCAAGACUGGAAAUACAGCUCUAGAGGCAGUUCAGAUUCCACCCAGUUCCUUUAUUUCAAAAUGGAUUAUCAUCUCCCCUCUCCAGGAACUACUAUCUAGCCCAUCACUAAUUACUAAGACUGAAGAAAAAAAAAAGAGGGGAAAGGUCAUAAGUGUGCCCUUGCCGAGAAAAAACUGUGGGAAAAGUCCCAAUUGGGACUCCAGUUCAAGGAAAGUACCAAACUCUAACCUUUGGUUGAAUAUGGGAACCCCUUCUUGGGAGAAUGGCUCCAGGACUCAAUUGGGUAGAAUGUCCCCCAGACCGGCGGAAAAUUCCUCACUGUUUUUCUCUGUUCUUUUAUCUUUGGGACAAUUCACCUGGCACUUAUGACUGCCGGGUGUUACCAGAUAGAAUAAAGAUUGCAGUAGAAUGAGAAAUGCUCAAGAAGUAAGAAAAUGAUGUGGCUCCUGUUUGUCUGAGGGUAGUUCUCUGGAGGAGGCAGCUGUGAACUGGUUGAAGACAAAACUCAGAAAAGCUAUGGGAAGAGUGCACUGGCAAGGUAUGGCCUGACUAUUUCGGUGACUUUGGUGUACACAAAAGUAAAGAAUCACUGAUCUGUGCCUCCAUAAAUACUGAAGAGAAAGAGCCAGAAUAGAUGGAGAGUUUGCAGAUAAUUGAGAGGGGGCUGAUUGACAUGGCUUGCAUUGCAUAGUAAAAUGUCACUUACUCAUAGCAAAACUACUCAACAGAGAUGGGCCUGCCCUAGCAAGAAGAGAGGGGUGUUUCCAGAAGAUAUUCACAUUUGAAUCAGCAGACUGAGUAAAGAAGAUUGCCCUCACCAAUGCAGGUGGGCAUCAACCCAUCCACUGAGGGACUGAAUAGAACAAAGACAUGGAGGAAGGACAAAUUUACCAUCUGCGUGAGCUGAGACAUCCAUCCUCUCUUGCCCAUAGAUGUCGGCGCUUCUGGUUCUUGGGCCUUUGGGUUUGGAUUGGAACUACAUCACCAGCUUUCUUGGGUCUCCAGCUUGCUGACAGCAGAUGGUGGGAUUCCUCAGUCUCCAUAAUUACGUGAGCCAAUCGCUCAUAAUAAAUCUCUUUCUAUAUAUCUCCCCUCAUAUCUUAUUGGUUCUGUUUCUCUGGAGGACUCUGACUACUACCAUAGGCAAGUGGAUAUUCAAGUCUAGAACUGAAAGACCAUGCCUAAGUGGAUAAAAACUUGGAAAUCAUCAGCAUAUAAAUGAUACUUGAAACGACAGACUGGAUGAGAUCACCUCAGAGUCAAGUCUAGAGAAGAGAAAGAGACCCAGGAUGAGACCUGAUGAUAUUAUUCAAAUCUGUAUCUUAGCUUUCUUUUCAGUUUCAUUGAUCUUAUUAUUAUGAUAGUAAGAUAGUAUUUUAAUUAUAAUAGCUCUAUAGCAAGGCUUUAUACCUAUGAAAACAAAUCAUUACCUAUUACUUUUCUUUUUAAAGUAUUUUUGCAUUUCUUCCCAUCUAUACUUUCUAACAUAUAAACUUUUGUAUCACUUUACAAAAUCAAAAACUUCCUUUUUCUAUAUGAUACUAGUUAUGAUUGUGAAAGUUGGGUAUAAAAUGCAAUAACGUUGACAUUUAUUUGAUAUCACUGACAAACAAUUUUUGAGCUAGGCAAGUUAUUAG
rnacentral:lncRNA from 1 species